rnacentral:rRNA from 1 species
UACGUAGGGUGCAAGCGUUAUUCGGAUUUACUGGGCGUAAAGGGUGCGUAGGCGGUUUUUUAAGUCAGGGGUGAAAUCCUGGAGCUCAACUCCAGAACUGCCUUUGAUACUGAGGAUCUUGAGUUCGGGAGAGGUGAGUGGAACUGCGAGUGUAGAGGUGAAAUUCGUAGAUAUUCGCAAGAACACCAGUGGCGAAGGCGGCUCACUGGCCCGAUACUGACGCUGAGGCACGAAAGCGUGGGGAGCAAACAGG